UACGAAGGGGGCUAGCGUUGCUCGGAAUUACUGGGCGUAAAGGGAGCGUAGGCGGGUCGUUAAGUCAGGGGUGAAAUCCCAGAGCUCAACUCUGGAACUGCCUUUGAUACUGGCGACCUAGAGUUCGGAAGAGGUUAGUGGAAUUCCCAGUGUAGAGGUGAAAUUCGUAGAUAUUGGGAAGAACACCAGUGGCGAAGGCGGCUAACUGGUCCGAUACUGACGCUGAGGUGCGAAAGCGUGGGGAGCAAACAGG
rnacentral:rRNA from 1 species